CAAAGCCGCAAGCAUUGACUGUGGCAUCUAAAAACAGACGGGAGAAACUGGUCUGUGAUAAUACCUCCAGUGUUGUAAGGGAGCAUGAGGAAGGAAGGUAUGACAAACUGAAGAUCAAAAGCUGUAUUAACGUAAGAUGUAACGAAGAAGGAAACAAGUAGUAAAAAGUGAAAAGGAGGGAUCGAAAGGAAGCUUCAAGAUUGAAAGAGUUCAGUAAAAAUUUUCAAGGAUAUUGCCUGUGUUGGAAGGUUCGAGCUACAGGGAGAUGCUGAAUGGACUGCAGCUACUUUCCCUGGAGUGUCGGAG